CAGUUGUGGACAUAGACAUGGGGACACUGGGACAUUUAGGGACACUGGGAGACAUGGGGACACGAGGCACACUGAGACACUAGGAACACAGACACUGGGAGACAUGGGGACACUGUCCCCAUGUUUUCCAGUGUCCCCAAGUGUCUCAGUGUCUCCCAGUGUCUGUGUCCCCAUGUGA